rnacentral:miRNA from 1 species
CCGUGGGACAGAUGCUAGCCAAGGUUCUGAGGUCUCAUCUUUGGCUGGUCUCUUCUCUGCAG